UACGUAGGCAGCGAGCGUUGUUCGGAGUUACUGGGCGUAAAGAGUGCGUAGGCGGUUUUCUAAGUUUGGUGUGAAAUCUCCCGGCUUAACUGGGAGGGUGCGCCGAAGACUGGAAGGCUUGAGUAUGGGAGAGGUAAGCGGAAUUCCUGGUGUAGCGGUGAAAUGCGUAGAUAUCAGGAGGAACACCUGCGGUGUAGACGGCUUACUGGACCAUAACUGACGCUGAGGCACGAAAGCGUGGGUAGCAAACAGG
rnacentral:rRNA from 4 species